rnacentral:rRNA from 1 species
CUACGGGGGGCAGCAGUCGAGAAAAUUCUGCAAUGUACGAAAGUAUGACAGAGCGAGCCAGAGUGUUUUUCCGUAUUGGAAAAACUUUUGUGAGAUGUAAAAAGUCUCACGAAUAAGGACUGGGUAAGACUGGUGCCAGCCGCCGCGGUAAUACCAGCGGUCCAAGUUGCAAUCACUUUUAUUGGGUCUAAAACAUCCGUAGCUUGUUGUAUAAGUCUCUUGUGAAAUCUCAAGUCUUAAGCUUGGAAGUGUGAGAGAUACUGUAUAACUAGAGACCGGGAGAGGUAAGGAGUACGGCUAGGGUAGCGGUAAAAUGUGUUGAUCCUUGCUGGACUAACAAUAGCGAAGGCACCUUACUAGAACGGAUCUGACAGUGAGGGAUGAAGGCUAGGGGCGCAAAACGGAUUAGAUACCCUAGUAGUC